rnacentral:rRNA from 1 species
CAGGAGUUCGGACGAUGACCCGCUUCGGUGGGGGAUUAGUGGCGAACGGGUGAGUAACACGUGGGCAAUCUGCCCUGCACUCUGGGACAAGCCCUGGAAACGGGGUCUAAUACCGGAUGAUACCUGUCGAGGCAUCUCGGCGGGUUGAAAGCUCCGGCGGUGCAGGAUGAGCCCGCGGCCUAUCAGCUUGUUGGUGAGGUAGUGGCUCACCAAGGCGACGACGGGUAGCCGGCCUGAGAGGGCGACCGGCCACACUGGGACUGAGACACGGCCCAGACUCCUACGGGAGGCAGCAGUGGGGAAUAUUGCACAAUGGGCGGAAGCCUGAUGCAGCGACGCCGCGUGAGGGAUGACGGCCUUCGGGUUGUAAACCUCUUUCAGCAGGGAAGAAGCGCAAGUGACGGUACCUGCAGAAGAAGCGCCGGCUAACUACGUGCCAGCAGCCGCGGUAAUACGUAGGGCGCAAGCGUUGUCCGGAAUUAUUGGGCGUAAAGAGCUCGUAGGCGGUCUGUCGCGUCGGAUGUGAAAGCCCGGGGCUUAACCCCGGGUCUGCAUUCGAUACGGGCAGACUAGAGUGUGGUAGGGGAGAUCGGAAUUCCUGGUGUAGCGGUGAAAUGCGCAGAUAUCAUAAGGAAAACACC